UUUAAAUGGCCGCAGUAUCUUAACUGUGCAAAGGUAGCAUAAUCAUUAGUCUUUUAAUUGAAGGCUGGUAUGAAUGGUUGGACGAGAUAUUAACUGUUUCAUGAAAAUUUAUAUUAGAAUUUUAUUUUUUAGUCAAAAAGCUAAAAUUUAUUUAAAAGACGAGAAGACCCUAUAAAUCUUUAUAUUUAGAUUAUUGGUUUUUAGAGGUAUUUUUUUAUUUCAAUAGUUGAUAAUAUUUUAUUGGGGUGAUAUUAAAAUUUAAUAAACUUUUAAUUAUUAAAGUCAUUAAUUAAUGAGUAAUUGAUCCGUUAAUAACGAUUAAAAAAUUAAGUUACUUUAGGGAUAACAGCGUAAUUUUUUUGGAGAGUUCAUAUCGA
rnacentral:rRNA from 1 species